CUCCCCAAAGCAUUAGUGGUGAUGCUCAAGACCUUUAAUCUUGAGAACUAGGUUCAACUCCUAGUGGGGAGA
rnacentral:tRNA from 1 species